ACGAACGCUGGCGGCGUGCUUAACACAUGCAAGUCGAGCGGUAAGGCCCUUCGGGGUACACGAGCGGCGAACGGGUGAGUAACACGUGGGUGACCUGCCCUCCACUCUGGGAUAAGCCCGGGAAACUGGGUCUAAUACCGGAUAUGACUUCUGGGUGCAUGCCUGGUUGUGGAAAGUUUUUUCGGUGGGGGAUGGGCCCGCGGUCUAUCAGCUUGUUGGUGGGGUGAUGGCCUACCAAGGCGACGACGGAUAGCCGGCCUGAGAGGGUGAUCGGCCACACUGGGACUGAGACACGGCCCAGACUCCUACGGGAGGCAGCAGUGGGGAAUCUUGCGCAAUGGGCGGAAGCCUGACGCAGCAACGCCGCGUGGGGGAUGACGGCCUUCGGGUUGUAAACCUCUUUCGCGAUCGACGAAGGCCCACUUUCUGUGGGUUGACGGUAGGUCGAGAAGAAGCACCGGCCAACUACGUGCCAGCAGCCGCGGUAAUACGUAGGGUGCGAGCGUUGUCCGGAAUUAUUGGGCGUAAAGAGCUCGUAGCGGUGUGUCGCGUCGGCCGUGAAAACCUGGGGCUUAACUCUGGGCGUGCGGUCGAUACGGGCAUCACUUGAGUUCGGCAGGGGAGACUGGAAUUCCUGGUGUAGCGGUGAAAUGCGCAGAUAUCAGGAGGAACACCCGGUGGCGAAGGCGGGUCUCUGGGCCGAUACUGACGCUGAGGAGCGAAAGCAUGGGUAGCGAACAGGAUUAGAUACCCUGGUAGUCCAUGCCGUAAACGUUGGGCGCUUAGGUGUGGGGUCCAUUCACGGGUUUCCGUGCCGCAGCUACGCAUUUAGCGCCCCGCCUGGGGAGUA
rnacentral:rRNA from 1 species